UGGGGAAUAUUGCACAAUGGAGGGAACUCUGAUGCAGCGACGCCGCGUGAACGAAGAAGGCUUUCGAGUCGUAAAGUUCUUUUAUAUGGGAAGAUAAUGACGUUACCAUAAGAAAAAGCCCCGGCUAACUACGUGCCAGCAGCCGCGGUAAUACGAAGGGGGCUAGCGUGGUCCGGAAUCACUGGGCGUAAAGGGUUCGCAGGCGGAAAUGAAAGUCAGGUGUAAAAGGCAGUAGCUUAACUACUGUAAGCAUUGGAAACUGCAUAUCUUGAGAAGAGUAGAGGUAAGUGGAAUUUAUAGUGUAGCGGUGAAAUGCGUAGAUAUUAAAAAGAAUACCGGUGGCGAAGGCGACUUACUGGGCUCAUUCUGACGCUGAGGAACGAAAGCGUGGGUAGCAAACAGG
rnacentral:rRNA from 1 species